rnacentral:tRNA from 6 species
GCGCGAGUGGCGGAAUUGGUAGACGCGCACGGUUCAGGUCCGUGUGUUCGUAAGGACGUGGGGGUUCAAGUCCCCCUUCGCGCACCA